rnacentral:rRNA from 1 species
ACGGUCCUAAGGUAGCGAAAUUCCUUGUCGGGUAAGUUCCGACCUGCACGAAUGGCGUAAUGAUGGCCAGGCUGUCUCCACCCGAGACUCAGUGAAAUUGAACUCGCUGUGAAGAUGCAGUGUACCCGCGGCAAGACGGAAAGACCCCGUGAACCUUUACUAUAGCUUGACACUGAACAUUGAGCCUUGAUGUGUAGGAUAGGUGGGAGGCUUUGAAGUGUGGACGCCAGUCUGCAUGGAGCCGACCUUGAAAUACCACCCUUUAAUGUUUGAUGUUCUAACGUUGGCCCCUAAUCGGGGUUGCGGACAGUGUCUGGUGGGUAGUUUGACUGGGGCGGUCUCCUCCUAAAGAGUAACGGAGGAGCACGAAGGUUGGCUAAUCCUGGUCGGACAUCAGGAGGUUAGUGCAAUGGCAUAAGCCAGCUUGACUGCGAGCGUGACGGCGCGAGCAGGUGCGAAAGCAGGUCAUAGUGAUCCGGUGGUUCUGAAUGGAAGGGCCAUCGCUCAACGGAUAAAAGGUACUCCGGGGAUAACAGGCUGAUACCGCCCAAGAGUUCAUAUCGACGGCGGUGUUUGGCACCUCGAUGUCGGCUCAUCACAUCCUGGGGCUGAAGUAGGUCCCAAGGGUAUGGCUGUUCGCCAUUUAAAGUGGUACGCGAGCUGGGUUUAGAACGUCGUGAGACAGUUCGGUCCCUAUCUGCCGUGGGCGCUGGAGAACUGAGGGGGGCUGCUCCUAGUACGAGAGGACCGGAGUGGACGCAUCACUGGUGUUCGGGUUGUCAUGCCAAUGGCACUGCCCGGUAGCUAAAUGCGGAAGAGAUAAGUGCUGAAAGCAUCUAAGCACGAAACUUGCCCCGAGAUGAGUUCUCCCUGACUCCUUGAGGGUCCUGAAGGAACGUUGAAGACGACGACGUUGAUAGGCCGGGUGUGUAAGCGCAGCGAUGCGUUGAGCUAACCGGUACUAAUGAACCGUGAGGCUUAACCUU